CGGAGGGAAAUCUUAGAGUGUGUAAGAUUUGCAGGAUGUCUUGUGGGGAAAAAAGCCCCACAGGAUCAGUUAGGUUGGGAAAGGCCUCAGAGAUCAUCGAGUGCAAGCAUUGCCCAACAGCAGCCUGUCAGGCAGGCCAUCCAGCGAGGGCCGCUUCCAGGCUUUCCUUUCCAGUCACCUCCAAGGAUGGUGACUCCACCAUCUCCCUGAGCAGCCCAAUCCAAAGUCGAAUCACCCCUUCUGUGAAGGAAUUCUUCCUGAUGUCCAAUAUUAUCAUAUUCUACUCUAAUGAGACCCUGUUAAUUCCCAAAUGACCUUGUCCUUCCUUAUCAGAGACACGUGUACCAUGGUAGAGCUUUUUCAGCUGUAUAACUCCUGGAAAUCCGUGAGAUGCUGCCCUUGUGUUUUAAUCAAGAUGAACUUGAAAGGUGAAUAUUCAAUAAAACCCACUUCAAAGUUAGGAAGGUUUUUCUCUCCCAGCUACUUGAAAUAAAAGCAUUUUCAGAGUGAGAUGGCUACAGAACACAGAAUGGGUCAGAAGGAGUGUCCAGUUUUUCCUUUUCCUGUGAAUUGCACAUCAUUUAUAUAAGUGCAGAUCAACAACAAUCCAGACAACAAAAGAAUAUCUGUGGCCCAUUCUGAAUUCAGCCUGAACA